rnacentral:rRNA from 1 species
AAUGGACGAAAGUCUGAUGGAGCAACGCCGCGUGAGCGAAGAAGGUUUUCGGAUCGUAAAGCUCUGUUGCCGGAGAAGAACGAGUGCCAGAGGAAAUGCUGGUGCUGUGACGGUAUCCGGCCAGAAAGCCACGGCUAACUACGUGCCAGCAGCCGCGGUAAUACGUAGGUGGCAAGCGUUGUCCGGAAUUAUUGGGCGUAAAGCGCGCGCAGGCGGCUUCUUAAGUCUGAUGUGAAAUCUUGCGGCUCAACCGCAAAAGGUCAUUGGAAACUGGGGAGCUUGAGUGCAGAAGAGGAGAGUAGAAUUCCACGUGUAGCGGUGAAAUGCGUAGAGAUGUGGAGGAAUACCAGUGGCGAAGGCGGCUCUCUGGUCUGUUACUGACGCUGAGGUGCGAAAGCAUGGGGAGCAAA